CUGGGGCUCGGGGGACGCUCGGGGGGUUUAUAGGGGACCAUGGACUUCCGGCAACAGGUGCAGGGAGCAGGUUUCCGGGGCUGGAAAGAAGUGACGUCGCUGUUUAACAAAGAUGAUGAGCAGCACCUGCUGGAGAAGUGCCAGCCCCCCAAGAUGAGAGAAGCGAGCCUGCGGCUGAAGGAGGAGCUGAAGGCGGCGCAGAAGCAGCAGGCGCGAGGGGCCCCCGCGAAGCUGAGCGCGCCGCC